rnacentral:rRNA from 1 species
AGAGUUUGAUCAUGGCUCAGAACGAACGCUGGCGGCAGGCCUAACACAUGCAAGUCGAGCGAGGACUUCGGUCCUAGCGGCGGACGGGUGAGUAACGCGUGGGAACGUGCCCUUUGCUACGGAACAGUCCCGGGAAACUGGGUUUAAUACCGUAUGUGCCCUACGGGGGAAAGAUUUAUCGGCAAAGGAUCGGCCCGCGUUGGAUUAGGUAGUUGGUGGGGUAAUGGCCUACCAAGCCGACGAUCCAUAGCUGGUUUGAGAGGAUGAUCAGCCACACUGGGACUGAGACACGGCCCAGACUCCUACGGGAGGCAGCAGUGGGGAAUCUUAGACAAUGGGGGAAACCCUGAUCUAGCCAUGCCGCGUGAGCGAUGAAGGCCUUAGGGUUGUAAAGCACUUUCAGCAAUGAAGAAGUAUUAGUUGUUAAUACCAAUUAAUAUUGACGUUAGUUGCAGAAGAAGUACUGGCUAACUCUGUGCCAGCAGCCGCGGUAAUA